rnacentral:tRNA from 1 species
GCGGGAAUAGCUCAGUUGGUAGAGCAUAACCUUGCCAAGGUUGGGGUCGCGAGUUCGAGUCUCGUUUCCGCUCCA